AAAGCGUGCGCAGGCGGUUUUGUAAGACUGUCGUGAAAUCCCCGGGCUCAACCUGGGAAUGGCGAUGGUGACUGCAAGGCUAGAGUUUGGCAGAGGGGGGUAGAAUUCCACGUGUAGCAGUGAAAUGCGUAGAUAUGUGGAGGAACACCGAUGGCGAAGGCAGCCCCCUGGGUCAAAACUGACGCUCAUGCACGAAAGCGUGGGGAGCAAACAGGAUUAGAUACCCUUGU
rnacentral:rRNA from 1 species